rnacentral:rRNA from 1 species
UAACAGGUUUGAACUGAAGAGUUUGAUCCUGGCUCAGAUUGAACGCUGGCGGCAUGCCUUACACAUGCAAGUC